CCUACGGGAGGCAGCAGUGAGGAAUAUUGGUCAAUGGGCGCUAGCCUGAACCAGCCAAGUAGCGUGAAGGAUGACUGCCCUAUGGGUUGUAAACUUCUUUUAUAUGGGAAUAAAGUGCAGUAUGUAUACUGCUUUGCAUGUACCUUAUGAAUAAGGAUCGGCUAACUCCGUGCCAGCAGCCGCGGUAAUACGGAGGAUCCGAGCGUUAUCCGGAUUUAUUGGGUUUAAAGGGAGCGUAGGCGGGUUGUUAAGUCAGUUGUGAAAGUUUGCGGCUCAACCGUAAAAUUGCAGUUGAUACUGGCAUCCUUGAGUACAGUAGAGGUAGGCGGAAUUCGUGGUGUAGCGGUGAAAUGCUUAGAUAUCACGAAGAACUCCGAUUGCGAAGGCAGCCUGCUGGACUGUAACUGACGCUGAUGCUCGAAAGUGUGGGUAUCAAACAGGAUUAGAUACCCCAGUAGUC
rnacentral:rRNA from 1 species